CUUGGUCAUUUAGAGGAAGUAAAAGUCGUAACAAGGUUUCCGUAGGUGAACCUGCGGAAGGAUCAUUCAUAAUAAGUGUUUUAUGGCACUUUUUAAAUCCAUAUCCACCUUGUGUGCAAUGUCAGUCGAUCUUCUUCAUGGAGAUCGACCAAACAUCAACCUUUAUUUUUUAACUCUUUGUCUGAAAAAUAUUAUGAAUAAACAAUUCAAAAUACAACUUUCAACAACGGAUCUCUUGGCUCUCGCAUCGAUGAAGAACGCAGCGAAAUGCGAUACGUAAUGUGAAUUGCAGAAUUCAGUGAAUCAUCGAAUCUUUGAACGCAUAUUGCGCUCUUUGGUAUUCCGAAGAGCAUGCUUGUUUGAGUAUCAGUAAACACCUCAAAGCUUUUGGAUUUUUUAAUCGAAAAGCUUUGGACUUGAGCAAUCCCAACACCAAUCUUUUUGAGAUCGGUGGCGGGUUGCUUGAAAUGCAGGUGCAGCUGGACAUUCUCCUGAGCUAAAGGCAUAUUCAUUUAGUCCCGUCAAACGGAUUAUUACUUUUGCUGCAGCUAACAUAAAGGGAGUUUGACCGUAUUGGCUGACUGAUGCAGGAUUUCACAAGGGUCGGCAACGAUUCUUGUUAAACUCGAUCUCAAAUCAAGUAAGACUACCCGCUGAACUUAAGCAUAUCAAUAAGCGGAGGAAAAGAAACUAACAAGGAUUCCCCUAGUAACGGCGAGUGAAGCGGGAUGAGCUCAAAUUUAAAAUCUGGCUGGUUUACUAGUCCGAAUUGUAGUUUAUAGAAGCGUUUUCGGUGGCAGCCUGGGUAUAAAUCCUUUGGAAUAGGGUAUCAUAGAGGGUGAGAAUCCCGUCUUUGACUCAGUGCAUGCUACUAUGUGAUACGUUUUCAAAGAGUCGAGUUGUUUGGGAAU
rnacentral:sRNA from 1 species